rnacentral:rRNA from 1 species
UAGGGAAUCUUCGGCAAUGGACGGAANNNUGGACCGAGCAACGCCGCGUGAGUGAAGAAGGUUUUCGGAUCGUAAAGCUCUGUUGUAAGAGAAGAACGAGUGUGAGAGUGGAAAGUUCACACUGUGACGGUAUCUUACCAGAAAGGGACGGCUAACUACGUGCCAGCAGCCGCGGUAAUACGUAGGUCCCGAGCGUUGUCCGGAUUUAUUGGGCGUAAAGCGAGCGCAGGCGGUUAGAUAAGUCUGAAGUUAAAGGCUGUGGCUUAACCAUAGUAGGCUUUGGAAACUGUUUAACUUGAGUGCAAGAGGGGAGAGUGGAAUUCCAUGUGUAGCGGUGAAAUGCGUAGAUAUAUGGAGGAACACCGGUGGCGAAAGCGGCUCUCUGGCUUGUAACUGACGCUGAGGCUCGAAAGCGUGGGGAGCAAACAGGAUUAGAUACCCUGGUAGUCCACGCUGUAAACGAUGAGUGCUAGGUGUUAGACCCUUUCCGGGGUUUAGUGCCGUAGCUAACGCAUUAAGCACUCCGCCUGGGAGUACGACCGCAAGUUG